rnacentral:rRNA from 1 species
AACGNCCGCGGUACUCUGACCGUGCAAAGNUNNUAUAAUCAUUUGCCUUAUAAUUGAAGGCUAGUAUGAAGGGUUUGACAAGAAUGUAGCGGUCUCUUUACAAUUUAAUAAAAUUUUAUUUUUAGGUGAAAAAGCCUUAUUUGGAUUAAAAAACAAGAAAACCCUAUCGAGCUGAAAAGGAGUUAAUAGACUAAGUUUCUAUUUUCUAAAAUAUGGAUAUUAUAUAUUUUGGUUGGGGCGACUGAAGAACAUAUAAAGCUUCCUUUACAUACGUAUUNGAUCCNUGAUAAAAGAAAUUAGUUACCGNAGGGAUAACACCAUUAUCCUUUUUGAAAGAUCUAAUCUAAAAAAGGGGUUGUGACCUCUAUGUUGGACCACAAUGUCCUGAAAGUGCGCAACUCUCUAAGGGGUGGUCUGUGCGACCAUUAUAAUUCUA